GGGAUGAACCUCUUGGCUCCUGGUUUCAGCCUGGCCCAGCCCAUUGCAGUCAUUUGGGAUAUGGGGAGUGAACUAGCAGAUGAACUACAUCUGGAUAUCAGAGAAGAUCUAAUCUGUGGAAAGAAACUGGAGGACUUUUUAAAAUGGGAAAAAUUUGAUAAUAGGUAGUUGUUUACUUUACCUAAACUGUAAGGUGACUGAGAACAAGGAGCUUUCUAAUCUGUUUCUGUGGUGUGACUCUACUAUCACAUUCACAGACAAAUACUUAAGUAAAUGCUUAAAUAAUUAAUCAAUAAUGAAGUGAAUGAAUAUAAUACUUAACCACAGGACUCAAACACAUCCCAGUAUGUAGAGGGGCCUUAGAACUUUAUAUUCUAGUAAGGAGUUUGUUAUCAUGUAUUCUAGGAGUAUACAUUACAAAAACAAGGAGACUUGAGUAAAACUGAACACCAGGAUAUACCAAUUCCCUAAGGAGGUAGAACAGAAUUAGGUGCAAGCCCAGCUGGCCAGGCUGUUUCUGCCACAUGCAUAAUGUUCCUCAAGACCAAAUAAGGCAGACACAGUGAAUUUAUUACAGAAAUCUAGUGUGAUGGUCAUACAAUGGAGCACACUCCUGUAGAUGGGGAAUACUUCCUUUAAGAGAAAUGAAAAUGCCCAAAGUGACAAAAGUUAAUUCUGGCACCUAUGGCGUUAGAUUUUAGAUUAAUAUAAGAAAAUUCAUCCUAUUCUUCCUAGAGCCUGGAGUAAGCAUUCAUCAGAUGGAGCUGUAGUAACAGCAGGAUCAUCAUGAUCCCAAGGAACAGGGUCAGGAGUAAUUCAACAAACAAGGCCAGAACCGCAGCCAAUAAAACAGUGGAGACUGAAACUAUUCAAAAGGGAACUGCGGCUUUUGUUGGAAUCUGGCUGGAUGACAUUGCUUAGUGGAAAGCAAAAGUGCUUUUGCUUCACCACAAACACUUUACAAGGAAGGAACUUUAGAGAGGGACGACAGCAGAAACUCUUAGAAGAUUAAUGUGGAUUCCCACAGCCUGUUCUUUUAUGGAUUGCCAGGAACUCGUUCAUCAACCAUAUUCACCCGGCAAGUGAGUCUACGGCAAAAAUACAAACAUGUAUGAAACGUUUCCCUACAAUUCUGCUUUCAGAUAAGACAUGAAAUAAUUAAAGAACAGUGCCUUGAGCUACUGCUGUCCAAAGAAGCAUCAUGGCAUCCAAAUUUCGCUGCAACAGCCAAUCCAGUUCUGACUCUCAGCAAGAAGUGACUCUUUUAAACACUGGGACUGCAAACACUUUUUACAUCAUCAAAAGUAAAGAAGAGAGUGUUAAUUCUAUGAAGAAAUAGCAGCUGCCAGCAGACACAGAGCUCUCAGGAUAGAAGGGCAAAGAGCAGCUGGAAUCUACUCCAAGACAGCAGUUGCCAGAAAAUAUUGAAGUGAAGCAUAACUUUCUAUAGAAAUCAAUUGAUAAAGAUCCAGCACUUAAAGAUUAUACUUAGAGGAAAAAAUAAAAAACAGAAAAAGACUGAGAGCCUUGUAUAUGAGGCUGAGGCUUGCAUAGGCAGAUUUGAGCAAGAGAAACUUGUGACAGAUCAGAAUGCAGAUUGUAUCAUAUCAUAUUGUUAAAUGGGUACUACAAGUCUUAUGUGAGGCAAAUAUGGAAAAUUACAUCAGAUCCUGUGUUAUGUCUAUUACAGCACUUUCUUGACAAUACAACAAUUGUAUAAAAUCUUCUCAUGGUUUACAGACUCAUAUGUUAUUGACAAUAAAAUUUUUACCUUCUUGAAAUUCAAAUAUGAAGAACCUUCUGUGAAUAUAUUUAUAAAGUUACCUGGACAUCACAGGUCCUAUUUGAGUCAAAAUUCUGAAGCUCAGACUUAAAUCAUUCUGAAGUAGAUUUAUUCCUAUCUUAAGCUGUGUCUCCACCGAUGGUCAUUGCUUCCCUCAAAGCCAAGAUCAUAUAUACAUGAUGGUACAAGAUCAUGCAAGGUUGUGGUCUUUAGGCUUCCCAAACUCCAUCUUCCAUGACUGUCUCUGAGCCUAAGUGAUAAUUACUUGGGCUUCUAUUAAUUCACAGAUUAUUGAAGUAUUCAUUGUGAUUACUAUAUGUCUACACCUUUAUAAUCAAUAUGUUGUAAAUAAAUCAUCCCAGAAAUAACAUGUUUAAAGUAUGUCAUCUGUUCCUUGUUGGAGUUCUUAACGGACACAGUCCCAGAGUAUAAGACUUUUUGUAACCUGGUCCUCAUCACAACCAUAACAAAUGCAAGCUAGUACUUCCCAGCUAAGCAAAUAAAGUUUGGAGAGUUUUCUUUUUAUUUAAUUAUUUAUUUAUUCUUUUUGUUUACUUGAAAGGCAGAGUAACAGACAGAGAAAAAGAAACAGAGGACAGAGAGAGGAGAGAGGUCAAUGUUCCAUCUGAUAGUUCACUCCUCAAAUGGCCACAACAGCUGGGGCUGUGCCAGGUCAAAGCUAGGACCCAGCAACUCCACUCUCCCAUCUGGGUUCCAGGACCACAAGCACUUGGGCCAUCUUCUGCUGCUUUCCCAGAUGCAUUAACACGGAACCAGAUAAGACGUGGGGCAGACAGGA